ACGAACGCUGGCGGCGUGCCUAAUACAUGCAAGUAGAACGCACAGUUUAUACCGUAGCUUGCUACACCAUAGACUGUGAGUUGCGAACGGGUGAGUAACGCGUAGGUAACCUGCCUGGUAGCGGGGGAUAACUAUUGGAAACGAUAGCUAAUACCGCAUAAUAUUAAUUAUUGCAUGAUAAUUAAUUGAAAGGUGCAAUUGCACCACUACCAGAUGGACCUGCGUUGUAUUAGCUAGUAGGUGAGGUAACGGCUCACCUAGGCGACGAUACAUGGCCGACCUGAGAGGGUGAUCGGCCACACUGGGACUGAGACACGGCCCAGACUCCUACGGGAGGCAGCAGUAGGGAAUCUUCGGCAAUGGACGAAAGUCUGACCGAGCAACGCCGCGUGAGUGAAGAAGGUUUUCGGAUCGUAAAGCUCUGUUGUAAGAGAAGAACGGGUGUGAGAGUGGAAAGUUCACACUGUGACGGUAUCUUACCAGAAAGGGACGGCUAACUACGUG
rnacentral:rRNA from 1 species